rnacentral:lncRNA from 1 species
CUCUUUUGAGUUUUAUUAAUCGUUGCCUCCAAAGUUGUUUCUUCCUUCAAAAAUAAAACCACUAAACAGUCGCCUCACAGUCCUACCGUCGAGUUGCAGUCUGUUUCCAUCAUAAAUCAAUCCGCAAUAAUCACGAUUCACAAUCAUCUUCAUACAAAAUGGAGAGAAAAAAUUUCAGAUUUCAUAAAUCAACAUAGAAAAGAAAUCGGUGGGUGCGAAAUCUCUGGGGUUACUUAUAAACAUGAGUUAAGCAGAUACACAUGCUUUUCAGCUCCACUUCUAGAAUAUUUUGGUACGUAUUUUUGUUAUAGAUUAAUAAUGGUUCUUUCGUCAAUGUUUUUGUAAUGGUUGAACUUUCCUAUUUUUACUUAGUUUUACCAUGUGUAUAGCAAUUUAAUUUUGUCUGAUGUAUAAAUUAAAUACAAAAAGGGUCCGUUAGUAUCAGAAGUGAUGUUCGAUGAAGUGGUCUCGAUGUGUUUCCUCUUUUAACUAGUACAUGUCUACUGAAAGUUGUUCUAGGUUUCUCCAUUUACUUCAAUAUGGGCAAAACCACAGUUGGUUCCUAACCCCUGAGAUGUUACGGUCGUCCCUCCUUCAAAAAACACGAUUGUUCCUGCAACAACAACAACAUACCCAGUGUAUUUUUUCACAAAGUGGGCCGAAACACCACGAACAAAAAAUCCAAGCGCUGAUACAAACAAAGAACACUUUCCUACUAUUAUGGACAAACUCCUACCUACUAUCUCUUUGUCCUAAUCCGCAUCCUUCACACCUUCCUAUCAAGAGUCAUGUCCUCCGUAAGCUGUAACUGCUCCAUAUCAUACCUAAUCACCUCUACUCACAAUUCUACUCACAAUUGUUCCUGCAAUGGACAUGAUUUUGGAGGCUGGAAAAGUAUCCUUGUCAUAUAGUUUUCCACCAUUAGUAGGAAAUUGGUCACUCAAAACAGCUGACAGCUAUUUUGUCAGACUAAUUGGGGUUGUUUCGUAUAAGAAAAACACGAUCUACAAAUAUUGCGGAAGAUGAUGUUAUAUCUGUAAGCCUUGACUUAGAAAUGUAACUUGUGCAUCGUUAGUUGGGUGUGGGGAUUAUGAAUUAUUCUGUUUUAAAAUUUUUAAUUUCGUUUUCUUGCUUUUGUCAGAGAUUAACGCUUUUGGCUUAUAAAGUUUUUUUUAUUCUUAAAAGAAACAUUCAAUGGAGAGUUAAGAAAAAAAUUUGCCUUGCGAAGUCCAUAUUUGCAUACAAUUAACUUUGUGCUAUUUUUUUGUUUUGAUUUUAAGUCAAUUGUUAUAUUUUAAAUGCUUAUAUGCUAAUAGCGAAGAAUUUGAUUAAUAAGUAUUAAUAUUAACAGUUACAAAGCUUAUAGUAAGGCCACCACAUAAACCAUAAGGGCGGCAAUCUGAUAAGGUAUGGAUCCUUCUUUUUUCCUGGGGUUUAUAUUUAUGCAUUACAUGUCUCAGUGAUCUCUUCUAUCUUUGCACAAAGAUUGAUAUAUUGAGUUAUUGUUGGUAAGUCAGAACCAAAGAUGAAUUCAAAUCGCAAACACCUAUAUCGCAACGUCUAUAGCUUUCUGUUUAUGUUACUUUGGACUCUUCAAAAAUGUCGGAUCAUCCAAAAGUAGUACCUUUUUGGAGGAUCCGGAACGAGUUUGACAACAUUUUGAAGAAUCCGAGAAACAUACUCUCCAUUGAUAUAUUGAUCUGGAACAUCAUCGUUCUGAAUUUUGUCCUCCUCACGAACAAAAGUUGGCAAGGAAAAGUCUAUGUGAGAAAAACAAAGCUAGAGACUAGCAAAUCAACUGAAAGGAAAUGGAAUGAGAUGAGUGAACAGAACCUCAACUGCAGUACCAUGUUUUGUGUCAAAACUUUGAUAUCUCUUGCGAACAAGUUCUACCAAAAAGACUAUCAGGUUUUCAAACAAGUAACAUGGUUAGACAUUCUUAUUCUGUUCAUUUAUUCGUUGAUAGUGCAAUGAAAGAUUACAAAGUUCACUUAAUUAACUUGGAAAUAUUUCUGAGGCCACGGGCUAGAGUGUUCAUACCAGCAAUAUGAGCAAUGAACAAGUCUUCGACAUCAGUGUGUCUCCGGUCUCCCUUCGACUGUUAUAUGACCAAAAAUAUCUGAUAACUGUGAAUGUCUUCCUGUUGAUUCUUCUACUCUUAACUAGUGCAAUAUUGAGUUAGAAUAUUAAAUUACUUUAAC